GACGAACGCUGGCGGCGUGCUUAACACAUGCAAGUCGAACGGUGAAGCGCCUUCCUUUUUGGUGGGUGUGGAUGAGUGGCGAACGGGUGAGUAACACGUGAGUAACCUGCCCCCUUCUUCUGGAUAACCGCAUGAAAGUGUGGCUAAUACGGGAUAUUCUGGGUCUGUCGCAUGAUGGGUCUGGGAAAGAUAUUGUUUCGGUGGGGGAUGGGCCCGCGGCCUAUCAGCUUGUUGGUGGGGUGAGGGCCUACCAAGGCGGUGACGGGUAGCCGGCCUGAGAGGGUGGACGGUCACACUGGGACUGAGACACGGCCCAGACUCCUACGGGAGGCAGCAGUGGGGAAUAUUGCACAAUGGGCGCAAGCCUGAUGCAGCGACGCCGCGUGAGGGAUGGAGGCCUUCGGGUUGUGAACCUCUUUCGCCAGUGAAGCAGGCCUGCCUCGUUUGUGGGUGGGUUGACGGUAGCUGGAUAAGAAGCGCCGGCUAACUACGUG
rnacentral:rRNA from 1 species